rnacentral:misc_RNA from 1 species
CAAGGUUUCCGUAGGUGAACCUGCGGAAGGAUCAUUGAAUCUAUCAAUACCAACACCGUGAACCAUUACUGUCUGGGUCUGUUCUGUGGGCUUAAUUGACCACAGGAUGCAGUCAAGAGCAAUCUUGACUGGACCUGCAUUGUCAAUUCAUUUGGCAAUGUAGGUUGGCCCCCUAUCUAACCCAACACCAAACAAAACCAUUCGACAUAUACUAUGUGUAGUUGGCCUGGCCACUGCAUUUUAACAGAGACAACUCUCAACAACGGAUAUCUUGGCUCUCGCAACGAUGAAGAACGCAGCGAAAUGCGAUACGUAGUGUGAAUUGCAGAAUUCCGUGAACCAUCGAAUCUUUGAACGCAUAUUGCGCUCGAGGCUUCGGCCAAGAGCAUGUCUGCCUCAGCGUCGGGUUAAUAUCACCAACCCUUAUACUUAUGUAUAAGACUGGUGGACCUGGCCGUUCCAGCUCUACCGCAGCUUUGCUGCCUAGUGUGUAUCUGGAUCGGCUGAAGAUUAGAGGCUAACCAAGGACCCGUUAAGGGCCGCAACUGGGUGGGCAGAAAUGCUAUUCUUAGUUGUUGGCUUGGGACUUUGAUUGUUCGGCCCUCAAACAGGAACCAUUAACCUAUUUUCUCGACCUGAGCUCAGGCAAGAACACCCGCUGAACUUAAGCAU